rnacentral:ncRNA from 2 species
CCCAUCAGCCACGGGAGUCCGGUACCGCCGGGCUGAGAGGAGAGCGCGCGAGCUCUCGACCGUAUGCACCUGAUCCGGGUCAUGCCGGUGUAGGGAGGCCACGGGUGAUGUGU